rnacentral:rRNA from 1 species
CCUACGGGUGGCAGCAGUGGGGAAUAUUGGGCAAUGGGCGCAAGCCUGACCCAGCAACGCCGCGUGAAGGAAGAAGGCCCUCGGGUUGUAAACUUCUUUUGUCAGGGACGAAGCAAGUGACGGUAACUGACGCAUAAGCCACGGCUAACUACGUGCCAGCAGCCGCGGUAAUACGUAGGUGGCAAGCGUUAACCGGAUUUACUGGGUGUAAAGGGCGUGUAGGCGGGGAAGCAAGUCAGAUGUGAAAUUCCAGGGCUUAACCCUAGAAGUGCAUUUGAAACUGUUUUUCUUGAGUGAAGGAGAGGCAGGCGGAUUUCCGUGUGUAGCGGUGAAAUGCGUAGAUAUACGGAGGAACACCAGUGGCGAAGGCGGCCGUCUGGACAGUAACUGACGCUGAGGCGCGAAAGCGUGGGUAGCAAACAGGAUUAGAUACCCCUGUAGUC